GAUGAACGCUGGCGGCGUGCCUAAUACAUGCAAGUAGAACGCUGAAGGAGGAGCUUGCUCUUCUGGAUGAGUUGCGAACGGGUGAGUAACGCGUAGGUAACCUGCCUGGUAGCGGGGGAUAACUAUUGGAAACGAUAGCUAAUACCGCAUGACAACAGUUAUUGCAUGAUAACUGUUUAAAAGGGGCAACUGCUCCACUACCAGAUGGACCUGCGUUGUAUUAGCUAGUUGGUGAGGUAACGGCUCACCAAGGCGACGAUACAUAGCCGACCUGAGAGGGUGAUCGGCCACACUGGGACUGAGACACGGCCCAGACUCCUACGGGAGGCAGCAGUAGGGAAUCUUCGGCCAUGGACGGAAGUCUGACCGAGCAACGGCGCGUGAGUGAAGAAGGUUUUCGGAUCGUAAAGCUCUGUUGUAAGAGAAGAACGAGUGUGAGAGUGGAAAGUUCACACUGUGACGGUAUCUUACCAGAAAGGGACGGCUAACUACGUG
rnacentral:rRNA from 1 species